rnacentral:rRNA from 1 species
AUGGCGGCCUCCUCUGCUAAACCCUACUGCUGCUCCUCCCUAAACCCCGCCCCUUCCAACGCCAUCGCCAGGCGCGCUGCCCUCUCCGCCCUCCCCGCCGCCAAGCCCCGCCGCUUCUCCCAUGGCCUCGCCGCCGUCGCUGCGAACCCUAGGGCCUCCCGCUCCGCCGUCCUCCGCCCCGUCCGCGCGUGCCUGGCGGCGCCGCGGCGGCCGGAGUACGUCCCGGACCGAAUCGAUGACCCCAACUAUGUUCGCAUCUUCGACACCACGCUCCGCGACGGGGAGCAAUCCCCGGGGGCCACCAUGACCAGCGCGGAGAAGCUCGUCGUCGCGCGCCAGCUCGCCCGCCUCGGCGUCGACAUCAUAGAGGCGGGCUUCCCGGCGUCCUCGCCGGACGACCUUGAUGCCGUGCGAUCCAUCGCCAUCGAGGUGGGGAACACACCCGUCGGGGAGGAUGGCCAUGUGCCCGUCAUCUGCGGCCUCUCGCGGUGCAACAAGAGGGACAUCGACGCCGCCUGGGAGGCCGUGCGCCACGCACGGAAGCCGCGCAUCCAUACCUUCAUCGCUACCAGCGAGAUCCACAUGCAGCACAAGCUGCGGAAGACACCCGACCAGGUGGUGGCCAUCGCAAGGGAGAUGGUGGCUUAUGCGCGCAGUCUCGGAUGCCCCGAUGUCGAGUUCAGCCCCGAGGACGCCGGCAGGUCAAAUCGAGAGUUCCUGUAUCAUAUCCUAGAGGAAGUAAUAAAAGCUGGAGCGACAACUCUCAACAUCCCAGACACUGUUGGGUACACUCUCCCUCAUGAAUUCGGGAAAUUAAUUGCUGACAUAAAAGCAAACACUCCUGGAAUUGAAAAUGCAAUUAUAUCUACUCAUUGCCAAAAUGAUCUUGGUCUUGCAAGUGCCAACACGUUAGCGGGUGCUUAUGCAGGGGCACGACAAUUAGAGGUGACUAUCAAUGGUAUCGGUGAAAGAGCCGGAAAUGCUUCCUUGGAGGAGGUUGUCAUGGCAAUCAAGUGUCGACGAGAACUCUUAGGUGGAUUAUACACUGGAAUUAAUUCACAACAUAUUACCAUGACAAGCAAAAUGGUACAAGAGCACAGUGGACUUCAUGUACAGCCGCAUAAAGCUAUUGUUGGUGCCAAUGCCUUUGCUCAUGAAAGUGGAAUUCAUCAGGAUGGGAUGCUUAAAUUUAAAGGAACUUAUGAGAUAAUAUCGCCUGAUGACAUUGGUUUAACACGUGCAAAUGAGUUUGGUAUUGUUCUUGGGAAGCUCAGUGGAAGGCAUGCCGUCAGAACCAAACUAGUGGAGCUUGGAUAUGAAAUCAAUGACAAAGAAUUUGAGGAUUUCUUUAAACGCUACAAAGAGGUUGCAGAGAAAAAGAAGCGUGUAACUGAUGAAGACAUAGAAGCUUUAUUGUCUGAUGAGAUAUUUCAGCCUAAGGUUAUUUGGUCCCUUGGUGAUGUACAGGCAACAUGUGGAACACUUGGUUUAUCUACAGCAACUGUCAAAUUGAUAACUAUAGACGGAGAGGAAAAGAUAGGAUGUUCUGUUGGAACUGGCCCAGUUGAUGCAGCAUACAAGGCUGUUGACCAAAUAAUACAGAUUCCAACUGUUCUUAGAGAAUAUAGCAUGACUUCAGUCACAGAAGGCAUUGAUGCAAUUGCAACCACUCGAGUAGUCAUUGCUGGAGAUGUCAGCGCCGAUAAACCUGCUUUGACUAGUAACUCCAAUCGAUCCUUCAGUGGGAGCGGCGCAGCCAUGGAUGUUGUCGUAUCCAGUGUCCGAGCUUACCUCAGUGCCCUGAAUAAGAUGUCCAGUUAUGUUGGUGCUGUAAAAGCCAGCAGCGAAGCACCUGAAACCAUAAGUGUUCAGACCACAGAAUGA